GAUGAAGAACGCAGCGAAAUGCGAUACUUGGUGUGAAUUGCAGAAUCCCGUGAACCAUCGAGUCUUUGAACGCAAGUUGCGCCCGAAGCCAUUAGGCCGAGGGCACGCCUGCCUGGGCGUCACACGUCGUUGCCCCCCCAUCUACUCCUUCGGGAUUGCGGGGGGCGGAUGAUGGCCUCCCGUGCGCCUCGUCGCGCGGUUGGCAUAAAUGCCAAGUCCUCGGCGACGCACGCCACGACAAUCGGUGGUUGCGAAACCUCGGUUGCCCGUCGUGUGCGGUCGUCGCGCAUCGAGGGCUCGAAAAAAUUGCCGGGCUCCGGCUCGGCUUUCAACGCGACCCCAGGUCAGGCGGGGUUACCCGCUGAAUUUAAGCAUAUAAUAAGCGGAGGA
rnacentral:misc_RNA from 1 species